UACGAAGGGGGCUAGCGUUGCUCGGAAUUACUGGGCGUAAAGGGCGCGUAGGCGGAUAGUUUAGUCAGAGGUAAAAGCCCAGGGCUCAACCUUGGAACUGCCUUUGAUACUGGCUAUCUUGAGUUCGGGAGAGGUGAGUGGAAUGCCGAGUGUAGAGGUGAAAUUCGUAGAUAUUAGGAAGAACACCGGUGGCGAAGGCGGCCAUCUGGCUCGGUACUGACGCUCAGGUUCGAAAGCGUGGGGAGCAAACAGG
rnacentral:rRNA from 1 species